UACGUAGGGCGCAAGCGUUGUCCGGAAUUAUUGGGCGUAAAGAGCUCGUAGGCGGUUUGUCGCGUCUGCUGUGAAAACUCGGGGCUCAACCCCGAGCCUGCAGUCGAUACGGGCAGACUAGAGUGCAGUAGGGGAGACUGGAAUUCCUGGUGUAGCGGUGAAAUGCGCAGAUAUCAGGAGGAACACCGGUGGCGAAGGCGGUCUCUGGGCAUGUCCUGACGCUGAGGAGCGAAAGUGUGGGAGCGAACAGG
rnacentral:rRNA from 1 species